UAGAUAGAUAGAUAGACUGAUUGAUUGAUUGAUAGAUAGAUAGAUGCAUGUGCAUGAAUUAGCAUAGACAUAUAUAGUUAUAGAUCAAUACACGGUAUCUAAUUGGCUAUCCAUCUCUCUGGGUUGAGGUGAUUGGUUGUUCAGACAAGAGACAAAACAUAUUUAAGCAGAGACAUCAGUUGGUACAGAUCCACUCCAGACUAACACGGCAUCAUCAACAACAGUACAGAGCUGACUGAUCGGAGCAGACAAGAUGAACAUCGUUCUCCUGAUCACCGCCACCUUCACUCUGGCCCUCGUUCAUGGGCUACAGCCUUGUCAGCAUAAGAAUAACAACAAUGCAUACAACAAUUUUGUUACGAGACACAUCAUUCGGUGGCCCUUCAACAGAAUAUCAAAGUCUGCAUGGGCAAGAUACCUCAAUUUUUACAGACUCUGUGGCAGAACUACAGUGCAG